CCUGAUGACUAUAGUGUAAUGGUACCACCUGAUCCCAUACCGAACUCAGAAGUGAAACAUUAUAACGCCGAUGGUAGUACAGGGUUUCCCUGUGUGAGAGUAGGACAUUAUCAGGA
rnacentral:rRNA from 1 species